GACGAACGCUGGCGGCGUGCUUAACACAUGCAAGUCGAACGGAAAGGCCCUGCUUUUGUGGGGUGCUCGAGUGGCGAACGGGUGAGUAACACGUGAGUAACCUGCCCUUGACUUUGGGAUAACUUCAGGAAACUGGGGCUAAUACCGGAUAGGAGCUCCUGCUGCAUGGUGGGGGUUGGAAAGUUUCGGCGGUUGGGGAUGGACUCGCGGAUUAUCAGCUUGUUGGUGGGGUAGUGGCUUACCAAGGCUUUGACGGGUAGCCGGCCCGAGAGGGUGACCGGCCACAUUGGGACUGAGAUACGGCCCAGACUCCUACGGGAGGCAGCAGUGGGGAAUAUUGCACAAUGGGCGGAAGCCUGAUGCAGCAACGCCGCGUGCGGGAUGACGGCCUUCGGGUUGUAAACCGCUUUCGCCUGUGACGAAGCGUGAGUGACGGUAAUGGGUAAAGAAGCACCGGCUAACUACGUG
rnacentral:rRNA from 1 species